AGUGAACGCUGGCGGUAGGCCUAACACAUGCAAGUCGAACGGCAGCACAGUAAGAGCUUGCUCUUACGGGUGGCGAGUGGCGGACGGGUGAGGAAUACAUCGGAAUCUACUUUUUCGUGGGGGAUAACGUAGGGAAACUUACGCUAAUACCGCAUACGACCUACGGGUGAAAGCAGGGGAUCUUCGGCCCUUGCGCGAUUGAAUGAGCCGAUGUCGGAUUAGCUAGUUGGCGGGGUAAAGGCCCACCAAGGCGACGAGCCGUAGCUGGUCUGAGAGGAUGAUCAGCCACACUGGAACUGAGACACGGUCCAGACUCCUACGGGAGGCAGCAGUGGGGAAUAUUGGACAAUGGGCGCAAGCCUGAUCCAGCCAUACCGCGUGGGUGAAGAAGGCCUUCGGGUUGUAAAGCCCUUUUGUUGGGAAAGAAAAGCAGCAGGUUAAUACCCCGCUGUUCUGACGGUACCCAAAGAAUAAGCACCGGCUAACUUCGUG
rnacentral:rRNA from 1 species